GACGAACGCUGGCGGCAGGCCUAACACAUGCAAGUCGAACGGUAACAGGAAGAAGCUUGCUUCUUUGCUGACGAGUGGCGGACGGGUGAGUAAUGUCUGGGAAACUGCCUGAUGGAGGGGGAUAACUACUGGAAACGGUAGCUAAUACCGCAUAACGUCGCAAGACCAAAGAGGGGGACCUUCGGGCCUCUUGCCAUCGGAUGUGCCCAGAUGGGAUUAGCUAGUAGGUGGGGUAACGGCUCACCUAGGCGACGAUCCCUAGCUGGUCUGAGAGGAUGACCAGCCACACUGGAACUGAGACACGGUCCAGACUCCUACGGGAGGCAGCAGUGGGGAAUAUUGCACAAUGGGCGCAAGCCUGAUGCAGCCAUGCCGCGUGUAUGAAGAAGGCCUUCGGGUUGUAAAGUACUUUCAGCGGGGAGGAAGGGAGUAAAGUUAAUACCUUUGCUCAUUGACGUUACCCGCAGAAGAAGCACCGGCUAACUCCGUGCCAGCAGCCGCGGUAAUACGGAGGGUGCAAGCGUUAAUCGGAAUUACUGGGCGUAAAGCGCACGCAGGCGGUUUGUUAAGUCAGAUGUGAAAUCCCCGGGCUCAACCUGGGAACUGCAUCUGAUACUGGCAAGCUUGAGUCUCGUAGAGGGGGGUAGAAUUCCAGGUGUAGCGGUGAAAUGCGUAGAGAUCUGGAGGAAUACCGGUGGCGAAGGCGGCCCCCUGGACGAAGACUGACGCUCAGGUGCGAAAGCGUGGGGGGCAAACAGGAUUAGAUACCCUGGUAGUCCACGCCGUAAACGAUGUCGACUUGGAGGUUGUGCCCUUGAGGCGUGGCUUCCGGAGCUAACGCGUUAAGUCGACCGCCUGGGGAGUACGGCCGCAAGGUUAAAACUCAAAUGAAUUGACGGGGGCCCGCACAAGCGGCGGAGCAUGCGGAUUAAUUCGAUGCAACGCGGAGAACCUUACCAAGGCUUGACAUGCACGGCGGCACUGCAGAGAUGUGGUGGCAUUUAGUUGGUCGUGUGCAGGUGGUGCAUGGUUGUCGUCAGCUCGUGUCGUGAGAUGUUGGGUUAAGUCCCGCAACGAGCGCAACCCUUGCCCUAUGUUGCCAGCACGUGAUGGUGGGGACUCGUGGGGGACUGCCGGGGUUAACUCGGAGGAAGGUGGGGAAGACGUCAAAUCAUCAUGCCCCUUAUGUCUUGGGCUUCACGCAUGCUACAAUGGCUGGUACAGAGGGUUGCGAUACUGUGAGGUGGAGCGAAUCCCUUAAAGCCAGUCUCAGUUCGGAUUGGGGUCUGCAACUCGACCUCAUGAAGUCGGAGUCGCUAGUAAUCGCAGAUCAGCAACGCUGCGGUGAAUACGUUCCCGGGGCU
rnacentral:rRNA from 1 species